rnacentral:rRNA from 1 species
UACGUAGGGGGCUAGCGUUGUCCGGAAUCAUUGGGCGUAAAGCGCGUGUAGGCGGCCCGGUAAGUCCGCUGUGAAAGUCGGGGGCUCAACCCUCGGAUGCCGGUGGAUACUGUCGGGCUCGAGUGCGGAAGAGGCGAGUGGAAUUCCUGGUGUAGCGGUGGAAUGCGCAGAUAUCAGGAGGAACACCGAUGGCGAAGGCAGCUCGCUGGGACGGUACUGACGCUGAGGCGCGAAAGCGUGGGGAGCGAACAGG